GCAAGCCGACGGAAAGUGCAACAGAAAGAUACCGCCUACGCCUUCUUCGGAAGGCCGGUAAGGGUGAAAUGGUGCGGUAAGAGCGCACCGCGAGUCUGGCAACAGACCGGCACGGCAAACCCCACCUGGAGCAAGACCAAAUAGGGAUCCUUUGGCGCGGCCCGCGUUGGAUCCGGGUAGGUUGCUUGAGCGUUGCGGUGACGUAACGCCUAGAGGAAUGACUGUCCACGACAGAACCCGGCUUAUCGGCCGGCUCCGCCU
rnacentral:RNase_P_RNA from 1 species